CAAAAACCCACUUCUUCAAAUCCCAAAAAUCAAAUGAAGAACUCACUUCAUGCUCCAAAACUUUGCCAAAAGUUGCAAUCUUUAACACUCAAAACAAAAUACCCCACUUCAAAAACUCCUCAAGAAAAACUGCAAGUCAGUACGAUUGAUGGUCUUUGUAAGGAUGACUUAUUGGAGAAGCAAAAGAGCUUUUUCCGCAAAUGAAGGGUAGAGGGAUUUGUCCUGAUGUGUUCGUGUAUAGCUCUCUGAUGCAUUAUUUGUGUUCUAUGGAUGAGCGGGAGGAUAAAGGUUUGUUUGUUGAGAUUAUGGAUUAAGGUGUGUGGCCUAAUGUGGUGACAUUCAAUGUGCUGGCAGAUAUGCUUUGCAAGCCCAUGAAGAUGAAAGAAGUACGUGAAUUGUUUGAACUUAUGGUUCAGAGAGGUAUAGAACCUGAUGAUUGUGCUUAUUCCAUCUACUUUUUGGCUGGCAUGAUUGAUGAUGGGAGGGACUCUUUGUUUCUGUUGUAAAUAAGGGGCGUAAACGUAAUGUUGUUAGCUAUAAUUCUUUGAUAAAUGGGUACUGCAAAAAUCGGAAGGUAGAUGAAGCUAUGCGCCUUUAAAGGGAAAUGCGUGAUGAAGGGAUUAGACCAAUAAUUAUCAAAUACAGUACUUUGCAGGUAAGGUUUGAAAUGCUCUGAAGCUGCGACUUCAUGACCUGGUACCUAAUGUGACGACAUAUAAUGUUUAUCUGGAUGGGCUUUGCAAGAACAAUUGUUUUUCAGAGGCAGUGGGCCUGUUUCAUAGUUUAGAGAAUUGUAAGUUUGAAUCGAGCAUUGAAAUCCUUAACUGCCUUAUUAAUUGCUUAUGCAAAAUAGGGAAGCUUGCAACUGCUUGGGACCUAUUUUACAGAAUGCCUAAUAAAGGUUUAAAGCCUGCUGUUGUAACA